GGAAGAACAUGAAAUCCAUCAGCAAAGUCAAGCAUCAAGCUUAAAUGUACCUCUUGUAAUAGAAUGAAAACAAAACAAAAACAAAAGCCUGUUAGCAAGUAAGAACGCCUUCGUUAGGCUCGGUUCACGUACGUUUGCCUAGUGCAGUGCAGCAUAUGAAUGUAAACGGCGAUGGACUCAUCAAAUAGGCUGAAUUUAACAAGCCUCUUGUUAAAUAUAUUUUGAAGCGUACGUGAUUACAAAUUCAAUUACAUCAACCACCUGCUUUGUUCUUCCCUUG
rnacentral:lncRNA from 1 species